rnacentral:rRNA from 1 species
CUGCAUCCAAAACUAUUUAGCUAGAGUGUGGGAGAGGAAGAUGGAAUUAGUUGUGUAGGGGUAAAAUCCGUAGAGAUAACUAGGAAUACCAAAAGCGAAGGCAAUCUUCUGGAACAUUACUGACGCUGAGGCGCGAAAGCGUGGGGAGCAAACAGGAUUAGAUACCCUGGUAGUCCACGCCCUAAACGAUGAAUGUUAGUCGUCGGGUAGCUAGUCUAUUCGGUGAUGCAGCUAACGCAUUAAACAUUCCGCCUGGGGAGUACGGUCGCAAGAUUAAAACUCAAAGGAAUAGACGGGGACCCGCACAAGUGGUGGAGCAUGUGGUUUAAUUCGAAGAUACGCGAAGAACCUUACCUAGCCUUGACAUAUUUAAGAAUCCGAUAGAGAUAUUGGAGUGCCUUCGGGAGCUUUCUUACAGGUGCUGCACGGCUGUCGUCAGCUCGUGUCGUGAGAUGUUGGGUUAAGUCCCGCAACGAGCGCAACCCUCGUCACUAGUUACUAACGGUUCGGCCGAGGACUCUAGUGAGACUGCCUUCGUAAGGAGGAGGAAGGUGAGGACGACGUCAAGUCAUCAUGGCCCUUACGGCUAGGGCAACACACGUGCUACAAUGGCCAGGACAGUGAGACGCGAUACCGUGAGGUGGAGCAAAUCUAUAAACCUGGUCUCAGUUCGGAUUGUAGUCUGCAACUCGACUACAUGAAGCUGGAAUCACUAGUAAUCGUAGAUCAGCUAUGCUACGGUGAAUACGUUCCCGGGUCUUGUGCUCACCGCCCGUCACACCAUGGGAGUUGAUUUCACCCGAAGCGGGGAAGCUAAACUGGCUACCCUCCACGGUGGAAUUAGCGACUGGGGUGAAGUCGUAACAAGGUAACC